rnacentral:rRNA from 1 species
CCUACGGGUGGGCAGCAGUGGGGAAUAUUGGACAAUGGGCGAAAGCCUGAUCCAGCCAUGCCGCGUGUGUGAAGAAGGCCUUCGGGUUGUAAAGCACUUUCAGUGGGGAAGAAAGCCUUAGGGCUAAUACCCUCGAGGAAGGACAUCACCCACAGAAGAAGCACCGGCUAACUCCGUGCCAGCAGCCGCGGUAAUACGGAGGGUGCGAGCGUUAAUCGGAAUUACUGGGCGUAAAGCGCGCGUAGGCGGUCUGAUAAGCCGGUUGUGAAAGCCCCGGGCUCAACCUGGGAACGGCAUCCGGAACUGUCAGGCUAGAGUGCAGGAGAGGAAGGUAGAAUUCCCGGUGUAGCGGUGAAAUGCGUAGAGAUCGGGAGGAAUACCAGUGGCGAAGGCGGCCUUCUGGACUGACACUGACGCUGAGGUGCGAAAGCGUGGGUAGCAAACAGGAUUAGAUACCCGGGUAGUC